AUGAUAGGGUUAGAUCUCUCAGCCCUAUGUUCCCUCAACACUAUGUUCCCUCAACACUAUGUUCCCUCAACACUAUGUUCCCUCAACACUAUGUUCCCUCAGCCCUAUGUUCCCUCAACCCUAUGUUCCCUCAACUCUAUGUUCCCUCAGUCCUAUGUUCCCUCAACACUAUGUUCCCUCAACACUAUGUUCCCUCAACCCUAUGUUCCCUCAACACUAUGUUCCCUCAACACUAUGUUCCCUCAACCCUAUGUUCCCUCAACACUAUGUUCCCUCAACUCUAUGUUCCCUCAGUCCUAUGUUCCCUCAACACUAUGUUCCCUCAACACUAUGUUCCCUCAACACUAUGUUCCCUCAACACUAUGUUCCCUCAACCCUAUGUUCCCUCAACACUAUGUUCCUUCAACACUAUGUUCCCUCAGUCCUAUGUUCCCUCAACACUAUGUUCCCUCAACACUAUGUUCCCUCAACCCUAUGUUCCCUCAACCCUAUGUUCCCUCAACACUAUGUUCCCUCAACACUAUGUUCCUCAACUCUAUGUUCCCUCAACACUAUGUUCUCUCAACACUAUGUUCCCUCAACACUAUGUUCCCUCAACUCUAUGUUCCCUCAACACUAUGUUCCCUCAACCCUAUGUUCCCUCAACACUAUGUUCCCUCAACCCUAUGUUCCCUCAACACUAUGUUCCCUCAACACUAUGUUCCCUCAACACUAUGUUCCCUCAACUCCUAUGUUCCCUCAACACUAUGUUCCCUCAACACUAUGUUCCCUCAACACUAUGUUCCCUCAACACUAUGUUCCCUCAACACUAUGUUCCCUCAGUCCUAUGUUCCCUCAGUCCUAUGUUCCCUCAACACUAUGUUCCCUCAACACUAUGUUCCCUCAACUCUAUGUUCCCUCAACACUAUGUUCCCUCAACACUAUGUUCCCUCAACUCUAUGUUUCCUCAACACUAUGUUCCCUCAACUCUAUGUUCCCUCAACACUAUGUUCCCUCAACACUAUGUUCCCUCAACACUAUGUUCCCUCAACUCUAUGUUCUCUCAGUCCUAUGUUCCCUCAGUCCUAUGUUCCCUCAACACUAUGUUCCCUCAACACUAUGUUCCCUCAACUAUAUGUUCUCUCAGUCCUAUGUUCCCUCAGUCCUAUGUUCCCUCAACACUAUGUUCCCUCAACACUAUGUUCCCUCAACCCUAUGUUCCCUCAACACUAUGUUCCCUCAACUCUAUGUUCUCUCAGUCCUAUGUUCCCUCAGUCCUAUGUUCCCUCAACACUAUGUUCCCUCAGUCCUAUGUUCCCUCAACUCUAUGUUCCCUCAACACUAUGUUCCCUCAACUCUAUGUUCCCUCAACUCUAUGUUCCCUCAACACUAUGUUCCCUCAACUCUAUGUUUCCUCAACACUAUGUUCCCUCAACCCUAUGUUCCCUCAACACUAUGUUCCCUCAACACUAUGUUCCCUCAACUCUAUGUUCCCUCAACACUAUGUUCCCUCAACACUAUGUUCCCUCUGCACUAUGUUCCCUUAACUCUAUGUUCCCUCAACACUAUGUUCCCUCAACUCUAUGUUCCCUUAACUCUAUGUUCCCUCAACACUAUGUUCCCUCAACACUAUGUUCCCUCAACACUAUGUUCCCUCAACACUAUGUUCCCUCAACUCUAUGUUCCCUCAACACUAUGUUCCCUCAGCACUAUGUUCCCUCAACUUAA
rnacentral:lncRNA from 1 species